rnacentral:rRNA from 1 species
UUAAGCGACUAAGCGUACACGGUGGAUGCCCUGGCAGUCAGAGGCGAUGAAGGACGUGCUAAUCUGCGAAAAGCGUCGGUAAGGUGAUAUGAACCGUUACAGCCGGCGAUGUCCGAAUGGGGAAACCCAGUGUGAUUCGUCACACUAUCGUUAACUGAAUACAUAGGUUAACGAGGCGAACCGGGGGAACUGAAACAUCUAAGUACCCCGAGGAAAAGAAAUCAACCGAGAUUCCCCCAGUAGCGGCGAGCGAACGGGGAGCAGCCCAGAGGUCUGAAUCAGCUUGUGUGUUAGUGGAACGGUCUGGAAAGUCCGACGGUACAGGGUGAUAGUCCCGUACACCAAAAUGCACAGGCUGUGAACUCGAAGAGUAGGGCGGGACACGUGGUAUCCUGUCUGAAUAUGGGGGGACCAUCCUCCAAGGCUAAAUACUCCUGACUGACCGAUAGUGAACCAGUACCGUGAGGGAAAGGCGAAAAGAACCCCGGCGAGGGGAGUGAAAAAGAACCUGAAACCGUGUACGUACAAGCAGUGGGAGCACCUUCGGGUGUGACUGCGUACCUUUUGUAUAAUGGGUCAGCGACUUAUAUUCUGUAGCAAGGUUAACCGUAUAGGGGAGCCGCAGGGAAACCGAGUCUUAACUGGGCGUUAAGUUGCAGGGUAUAGACCCGAAACCCGGUGAUCUAGCCAUGGGCAGGUUGAAGGUUGGGUAACACUAACUGGAGGACCGAACCGACUAAUGUUGAAAAAAUUAGCGGAUGACUUGUGGCUGGGGGUGAAAGGCCAAUCAAACCGGGAGAUAGCUGGUUCUCCCCGAAAGCUAUUUAGGUAGCGCCUCGUGAACUCAUCUUCGGGGGUAGAGCACUGUUUCGGCUAGGGGGUCAUCCCGACUUACCAACCCGAUGCAAACUACGAAUACCGAAGAAUGUUAUCACGGGAGACACACGGCGGGUGCUAACGUCCGUCGUGAAGAGGGAAACAACCCAGACCGCCAGCUAAGGUCCCAAAGUCAUGGUUAAGUGGGAAACGAUGUGGGAAGGCACAGACAGCCAGGAUGUUGGCUUAGAAGCAGCCAUCAUUUAAAGAAAGCGUAAUAGCUCACUGGUCGAGUCGGCCUGCGCGGAAGAUGUAACGGGGCUAAACCAUGCACCGAAGCUGCGGCAGCGACACUAUGUGUUGUUGGGUAGGGGAGCGUUCUGUAAGCCUGCGAAGGUGUGCUGUGAGGCAUGCUGGAGGUAUCAGAAGUGCGAAUGCUGACAUAAGUAACGAUAAAGCGGGUGAAAAGCCCGCUCGCCGGAAGACCAAGGGUUCCUGUCCAACGUUAAUCGGGGCAGGGUGAGUCGACCCCUAAGGCGAGGCCGAAAGGCGUAGUCGAUGGGAAACAGGUUAAUAUUCCUGUACUUGGUGUUACUGCGAAGGGGGGACGGAGAAGGCUAUGUUAGCCGGGCGACGGUUGUCCCGGUUUAAGCAUGUAGGCUGAUUGUCCAGGCAAAUCCGGAUAAUCAAGGCUGAGGUGUGAUGACGAGGCACUACGGUGCUGAAGUAACAAAUGCCCUGCUUCCAGGAAAAGCCUCUAAGCAUCAGGUAACAUCAAAUCGUACCCCAAACCGACACAGGUGGUCAGGUAGAGAAUACCAAGGCGCUUGAGAGAACUCGGGUGAAGGAACUAGGCAAAAUGGUGCCGUAACUUCGGGAGAAGGCACGCUGGUGUGUAGGUGAAGUCCCUGCGGAUGGAGCUGAGACCAGUCGAAGAUACCAGCUGGCUGCAACUGUUUAUUAAAAACACAGCACUGUGCAAACACGAAAGUGGACGUAUACGGUGUGACGCCUGCCCGGUGCCGGAAGGUUAAUUGAUGGGGUUAUCCGUAAGGAGAAGCUCUUGAUCGAAGCCCCGGUAAACGGCGGCCGUAACUAUAACGGUCCUAAGGUAGCGAAAUUCCUUGUCGGGUAAGUUCCGACCUGCACGAAUGGCGUAAUGAUGGCCAGGCUGUCUCCACCCGAGACUCAGUGAAAUUGAACUCGCUGUGAAGAUGCAGUGUACCCGCGGCAAGACGGAAAGACCCCGUGAACCUUUACUAUAGCUUGACACUGAACAUUGAGCCUUGAUGUGUAGGAUAGGUGGGAGGCUUUGAAGCGUGGACGCCAGUCUGCGUGGAGCCAACCUUGAAAUACCACCCUUUAAUGUUUGAUGUUCUAACGUUGGCCCCUUACCGGGGUUGCGGACAGUGUCUGGUGGGUAGUUUGACUGGGGCGGUCUCCUCCCAAAGCGUAACGGAGGAGCACGAAGGUUAGCUAAUCCUGGUCGGACAUCAGGAGGUUAGUGCAAUGGCAUAAGCUAGCUUGACUGCGAGCGUGACGGCGCGAGCAGGUGCGAAAGCAGGUCAUAGUGAUCCGGUGGUUCUGAAUGGAAGGGCCAUCGCUCAACGGAUAAAAGGUACUCCGGGGAUAACAGGCUGAUACCGCCCAAGAGUUCAUAUCGACGGCGGUGUUUGGCACCUCGAUGUCGGCUCAUCACAUCCUGGGGCUGAAGUAGGUCCCAAGGGUAUGGCUGUUCGCCAUUUAAAGUGGUACGCGAGCUGGGUUUAGAACGUCGUGAGACAGUUCGGUCCCUAUCUGCCGUGGGCGCUGGAGAAUUGAGGGGGGCUGCUCCUAGUACGAGAGGACCGGAGUGGACGCAUCACUGGUGUUCGGGUUGUCAUGCCAAUGGCACUGCCCGGUAGCUAAAUGCGGAAGAGAUAAGUGCUGAAAGCAUCUAAGCACGAAACUUGCCCCGAGAUGAGUUCUCCCUGAGACUUUAAGUCUCCUGAAGGAACGUUGAAGACGACGACGUUGAUAGGCCGGGUGUGUAAGCGCAGCGAUGCGUUGAGCUAACCGGUACUAAUGAACCGUGAGGCUUAACCUU